rnacentral:rRNA from 1 species
UAGGGAAUCUUCCACAAUGGACGAAAGUCUGUUGGAGCAACGCCGCGUGAGUGAAGAAGGGUUUCGGCUCGUAAAACUCUGUUGUUAAAGAAGAACAUAUCUGAGAGUAACUGUUCAGGUAUUGACGGUAUUUAACCAGAAAGCCACGGCUAACUACGUGCCUG